rnacentral:rRNA from 1 species
AACCGAGAACUCCUACGGGAGGCAGCAGUGGGGAAUUUUGGACGAUGGGGGCAACCCUGAUCCAGCAAUGCCGCGUGAGUGAAGAAGGCCUUAGGGUUGUAAAGCUCUUUUCUCCGGGACGAUAAUGGCGGUACCGGAGGAAUAAGCCCCGGCUAACUUCGUGCCAGCAGCCGCGGUAAUACGAAGGGGGCUAGCGUUGCUCGGAAUCACUGGGCGUAAAGGGCGCGUAGGCGGCUGAUUUAGUCGAGGGUGAAAGCCCGUGGCUCAACCACGGAAUGGCCUUCGAUACUGAUUGGCUUGAGACCGGAAGAGGACAGCGGAACUGCGAGUGUAGAGGUGAAAUUCGUAGAUAUUCGCAAGAACACCAGUGGCGAAGGCGGCUGUCUGGUCCGGUUCUGACGCUGAGGCGCGAAAGCGUGGGGAGCAAACAGGAUUAGAAACCCGUGUAGUCCGACUGAGA